UGUGUGUGUGUGUGUGUGUGUGUGUGUGUGUGUGUGUGUGUGUGUGUGUGUGUGUGUAGGUGUGUGUGUGUGUGUGUCAUCUGCUGUAGUGAACUGGUUCUCCAUGCCUGCUUUUCACCAGCCUCUCCUGCGAAGUAGAGCAAGUAAAGACACGAAAAUAACUGUCACGUUGCCUUAACCAAACCGGAAAGGUGACUUUUGGCGCAUUAGAUGUCUGCGUCUCUGUGUGUGUGUGCGUGCGUGCGUGCGUGCGUGUGUGAGAGAGAGAGACACACACUCAGAGAGAGAGAGAGAGAGAGAGACGGAGAGAGAGAGAGGGUUGAAGCAAACAGGUGUAAUCCAAACAGCCAGGUGAAGGUGCGCCUUCUUUUUUCUCAUGCGCAAACAUCAUGGCGUGCGCUCUAGAAGUUUAACGCGCAACCAAACGGGAAGGAUUUAUUGUUUUCACAUUGACUGAGCUCAUACAGAGGCCUUACAUAUUUAUAUUUUGUAUUUUUUUUUCCACGUGGGACCACACUUUUUGGACAGGAUCUCGUCUUAACAGAUAACAUCAGUGAUGAUCUGGCAGCAGGACGCAUGAGUCCGUUUCGGCGCUUUUACGCAUUAAUAUCAUUUUGUAGAACUCUGUUACUGGGACUGCUGAGCUUUGUUCCAGCUGUGAAAUUGUCCUGAAUUGUGAAAAAUUUACACCCAUUUCCGGGGAGAAUGACAUCUCUGUUGAACAGACUCACUGUGUGUCUCUGUAUCCUGCGGAUCUUUGUGAUACUGGGAGACUUUGUGGAUGUCCCUCCAAAUGAUUCAGUGCGCUCUUUAGCAGAGGGGGAGACCACAUUACCAUGUAUCUACAGUAAACCCGAGCCAAAUGUAAUAGUGGUACAGGUCUCAUGGUUUAAAGAAAACAGGGAUGGCACCAGAGAGCAGCUCAUCACUGCACACCGUGAAAAUGGACAAACAGCGUUUGGGACGUGGUCUCGGCGGCUGCGCUUCAAAAGCAGCGAACCCACCGUUGAUUCCUCUCUGGUUCUCAGACCACUGAGACCUCUGAUGAGGGGAAAUACAUUUGCCAGGUCGACACCUUCCCCCUCGGCACAUUUAACAAGGAGAUGUCACUCACUGUGUGGAGUAAGUGCUUCUGCCACUGGAACAGAGGAGAGAUUACCUACAACAAAGUUACUGUAAUGAAAGGAAGUGAUAAUAUCAGUAUCUGAGGUUGAAAAUUUAGGAAGUGCACAUGUACCCACACUCUAAGUCAGAAUUGCAACCUCAUUUAUGUGCAUUCACAAACAGCAUAUCAUUUCUCUAAAUGACUAAUAGUCAACAACAAAUCAAAUAAUUAGUAAUAGUGUUUUGUUAUGCAAGACUGGUGUUUGUUACAGUCCAUGUAAUCUCAUAAAAGACAAUAUUACAUGAAUGUUUAUCAAAGUGCUCCUGAAUAUAUCAUUGUAAUCUCCUUUCUACCAGUAAAGUAAAGGUUUCUACAUGAAAUAUUUCUUAUAUAUUCAUAUUUGUAUUUUUUUACCUGCAUUUUUUAAAAGUAAUUUUCUCUGCAGUGAAAAGUUGUUUUUUUGUUUAUUUGAAUAAGCUCUGAAACUUUCGUCCCCUACAGACAAAAAUAACAAAACAAAAGAAAACGCAUUGCUUGGUCCCAGGAGGAUAUAUCCAAAAAUAUUUAACCCUAUAAAUUUGCAUAUUAACCCUUUCAUGCACAGUGGUCACUGCAGUGGACAGUUAUUCUACAGCUGUUCUCUUGUAU
rnacentral:lncRNA from 1 species